AUCGAACGCUGGCGGCAUGCCUUACACAUGCAAGUCGAACGGUAACAGGUCUCCGGAUGCUGACGAGUGGCGAACGGGUGAGUAAUACAUCGGAACGUGCCUAGUAGUGGGGGAUAACUACUCGAAAGAGCGGCUAAUACCGCAUGAGAUCUACGGAUGAAAGCAGGGGAUCGCAAGACCUUGUGCUACUAGAGCGGCCGAUAGCAGAUUAGGUAGUUGGUGGGAUAAAAGCUUACCAAGCCGACGAUCUGUAGCUGGUCUGAGAGGACGAUCAGCCACACUGGGACUGAGACACGGCCCAGACUCCUACGGGAGGCAGCAGUGGGGAAUUUUGGACAAUGGGCGCAAGCCUGAUCCAGCAAUGCCGCGUGCAGGAUGAAGGCCUUCGGGUUGUAGACUGCUUUUGUACGGAACGAAAAGCCCUGGGUUAAUACCCUGGGGUCAUGACGGUACCGUAAGAAUAAGCACCGGCUAACUACGCGCCAGCCGCCGCGGUAAUAC
rnacentral:rRNA from 1 species